rnacentral:rRNA from 1 species
GAUAAACGCUGGCGGCGUGCCUAACACAUGCAAGUCGAACGCACUCAGCAAUGAGUGAGUGGCGGACGGGUGAGGAACACGUGGGUCAUCUACCCCAAGGUGAGGAAUACCGGCGAGAAAUCGCCGACAAAACCGCAUACGCUCGGCAACGAGCAAAGUCGCAAGACGCCAUGGGAUGAGCCUGCGCCCGAUUAGCUGGUUGGUGGGGUAAAAGCCUACCAAGGCGACAAUCGGUAGCUGGUCUGAGAGGACGAUCAGCCACACUGGGAUUGAGAAC